AACAGAGUAGUAUAAUGGUUUGAGUAUUGGACUAUGACUCUGGAGAUCAGGGUUCGAAUCCCUGCUCGGCCA
rnacentral:tRNA from 1 species